rnacentral:rRNA from 1 species
UGGGGAAUAUUGGACAAUGGGCGCAAGCCUGAUCCAGCCAUGCCGCGUGAGUGAUGAAGGCCCUAGGGUUGUAAAGCUCUUUCACCGGUGAAGAUAAUGACGGUAACCGGAGAAGAAGCCCCGGCUAACUUCGUGCCAGCAGCCGCGGUAAUACGAAGGGGGCUAGCGUUGUCCGGAUUUACUGGGCGUAAAGCGCACGUAGGCGGACUUUUAAGUCAGGGGUGAAAUCCCGGGGCUCAACCCCGGAACUGCCUUUGAUACUGGAAGUCUUGAGUAUGGUAGAGGUGAGUGGAAUUCCGAGUGUAGAGGUGAAAUUCGUAGAUAUUCGGAGGAACACCAGUGGCGAAGGCGGCUCACUGGACCAUUACUGACGCUGAGGUGCGAAAGCGUGGGGAGCAAACAGG